rnacentral:tRNA from 1 species
AGGGGAAAUAUGUCCCCCUCAGUGA